rnacentral:rRNA from 1 species
CCUACGGGCGGCUGCAGUAGGGAAUAUUGCUCAAUGGGGGAAACCCUGAAGCAGCAACGCCGCGUGGAGGAUGAAGGUUUUCGGAUCGUAAACUCCUUUUGGUAGGGAAGAUAAUGACGGUAUCUAACGAAUAAGCACCGGCUAACUCCGUGCCAGCAGCCGCGGUAAUACGGAGGGGGCAAGCGUUACUCGGAAUCACUGGGCGUAAAGAGCGCGUAGGCGGGAUAGCAAGUCAGAGGUGAAAUCCUAUGGCCUAACCAUAGGACUGCUUUUGGAACUGUUUUUCUAGAGUAUGGGAGGGGUAGGUGGAAUUCUUGGUGUAGGGGUAAAAUCCGUAGAGAUCAGGAGGAAUACU